CCUGGCUAGGAUGAACGCUAGCGACAGGCCUAACACAUGCAAGUCGAGGGGCAGCACAAGGAGCAAUCUGAGGUGGCGACCGGCGCACGGGUGAGUAACACGUAUGCAACCUGCCUGUAAGCGGGGAAUAACCCGUUGAAAGACGGACUAAUACCGCAUAAUACUAAAUUACUGCAUGGUAAUUUAUUUAAACAUUUAUGGCUUACAGAUGGGCAUGCGCAUGAUUAGCUAGUUGGAGAGGUAACGGCUCCCCAAGGCAACGAUCAUUAGGGGUUCUGAGAGGAAGGUCCCCCACACUGGUACUGAGACACGGACCAGACUCCUACGGGAGGCAGCAGUGAGGAAUAUUGGUCAAUGGACGAGAGUCUGAACCAGCCAAGUCGCGUGCAGGAAGAAUGUCCCUAUGGAUUGUAAACUGCUUUUGCAGGGGAAUAAAGUGCAUCACGUGUGAUGUUUUGUAUGUACUCUGCGAAUAAGGAUCGGCUAACUCCGUGCCAGCCGCGGC
rnacentral:rRNA from 1 species